rnacentral:rRNA from 1 species
GACGAACGCUGGCGGCGUGCCUAAUACAUGCAAGUCGAACGAGUGGCGGACGGGUGAGUAAUAUAUCGGAACGUGCCCAGUAGCGGGGGAUAACUACUCGAAAGAGUGGCUAAUACCGCAUACUAUUGGAGCGGCCGAUAUCGGAUUAGCUAGUUGGUGGGGUAAAGGCUCACCAAGGCAACGAUCCGUAGCUGGUUUGAGAGGACGACCAGCCACACUGGGACUGAGACACGGCCCAGACUCCUACGGGAGGCAGCAGUAGGGAAUCUUCGGCAAUGGACGAAAGUCUGACCGAGCAACGCCGCGUGAGUGAGAAGGUCUUCGGAUUGUAAAGCACUUUAAGUUGGGAGGCGUUACCAACAGAAUAAGCACCGGCUAACUUCGUGCCAGCCGCCGCGGUAAUAC